rnacentral:pre_miRNA from 1 species
UCUUAUGGGUGAGUAAAGAAAGUGGUUUUCUGAGAUGGAAUCUACUCCUGAUGAUGAAGUUGUGAA